rnacentral:rRNA from 1 species
AUGUCUAGCCGUCCACGUUGUAGCCAGGUUUAUGAGUCUAGGAAGAAAGGCCUUUACCCAAGAAGCGCAGUAGACAGUUCUUUCGCUCCAAAGGAUGUGUACGAGGUGGCUGCUCUUUUUAGUGAUGCACAGAGAGAUGCAGUAGGCGAGAUUGGCCUCGUGGGGAUGCUAGAAGUAGCCAACAUAACUCAUGUGGAUCGGGAGUACUGCUGGAGUUUAUUCCUAGAUGUAGACCUUAAGCGUGGUGCGCUCAAGAUAGAUGAUGAUGUUUAUGUCACAUUCAACGAGGUUGACAUCCACAACAUCUUAGGGAUUGCACUAGGUGGAGACAUAUUAAUAGAAAAAAGAAAUGUUCCGCCUUCACCAGCACAGGUAACGCAGAUCAGAGAGUACCUAGGGUUGUGCCCGUCGAGCUUUUACGUAACCAUAGGCGACAUUAGGUGGGCUUUGAAGAAGCCAUGCCAAAACCCAUUCUCUGAAGCCGAUAAGAUCAGGACCCAGGUUGGUUUUGCAAUGCUUUGCAUGGCAAGUUGUUUCAGUCCUAGGGAGAAUAGGCAAACUGUCCCAACGGAGGCGUAUGCUAUUUGCAUGGACCCGGCUAACCUGCACAGGGUGAACUGGGGUAGAUACGUGCAUUCUGAGCUCAUCGGCGGAGCCGAGAAGGUACAUGAAAUACACAGGGAAGGGAAGAGGCCGCAGCUGUACGGGUGCCCACUAGUGUUGCAGGCAUUGCGUUUCGACUCUGUCGACACUGGUACAGCUGUCAAGCCUGAACCGCUUGUGCGUCCCAGAAUAAAGUUCUACACUGCCUUUAUUUUGUCAAGACUGAUACACAAAGAUACCGUCGUUGGUAGCGUUCCGAAGAGAUACGGUGUGAUGAAGGCCAGGCGUAUGGCAGACCAAAGCUUGCCAUGGAACGGCCAAAAUCUUAGGAGCAAAAUCCAGGAGGCCAAGGCUUUCAUAGAUAGAUCGCUGAAAGAGCACGCACUGGCUAGUGCUGAGCGCAAUACCUUGUUCUUUCGUAAGUUAAGUGCACUUAACGACGGAACAAUCGCCUGCAUGAACGAAAACAUGCACAGAGAGAUUGAAAAGCACCUUGCUUGCUUGUAG